AGAAGGGGUGAGAGGGAGAAACCUGCCGCCGCUCGCCGCCUCUUUGUCUGCUCCGGGACUGGGAACAAAAGGGGGAACUCUGAUGAACUCUCUCUCCUCCCCUCUCCCCCGGACGCCCGGGUAUCUCCCUCUCGCAACUUUGCCUACGCGACUUUCUCUGCUGUCAGGCCACAAAAAAGUGUCCUAGAGCCUCGCCGACUGCAACAAGGGAAACCACGUCUCUCCAAAGUGCGACCAAGUGGGGAAGAAGGUGUGAUUCUUGUGAGCCUCUAAAAGCAUCAUGCAGUGGCUGGGGGACCUCUGGAGUUGACCUUCGGUGUCCUGCAGCGUUCUCACUGGAUCUAUCAGGGGGCCACCUGGAUCGCCAGUGCAUCAGAUCCUUCCUGGAUUGGAGUUGCUUCAGAGUUACCCUGUUGGGAUUUGGGGCAAUGCCUUCCUCCUGUGGAUUACUACACCCUGGUGACUGGGAGUCCUCCACCUGGAAAGCACCCAGGGGACGGGGACGGCGAAGAGCUCGCACAUCGGCCUAUCCAGGGAACCCCGCUGAAGAGAGGGUGUGCGAGUCUUCCCCAGGGGCUCUGAAGUCCGCCCGCCUCACCCUCUGGGCGCCCGUACCUUCUCUGGGUGGCAUUUGUUCCAGUGACAUACUCGGACUUCAGAGACCACAGCCUUCUGAAAGCAGAGCCUUUAGACCGGGAAUUAAAUAAGAGCUGUCCAGUUGUGGUGAGCCUCUGAGUAGAGAUUUCUUGCAUGUAUACCUGACAAGCUGUACCCAUGAGAAUGAUCUCCAACGCUGCCUCCGUCUCUUCCCAUGUCCUGAGAUGAGUUUUCAGAAAAGAAACUUCAUCAAAAAGUUUAUCCUGAGUUUGCCACAAUUUAAAAAAAUAACCAAGAGCAAUAAAAAAGAAAGCACAACAUGACCCAGAAGCUCUGCAGGGAAGCCGGACCAGCUCGUAGCUGCACAAGCGGGUGUGAGCACGCUCCUCAUGAGCAGGUGUGAGCACGCUCCUCAUGAGCAGGUGUGAGCACGCUCCUCCUUGCUGAUGGUCAGCUAGACUGUUUAGACAUCUCAAUGGCUGCACACCGUCCACUGUACCUGGCUGAUAAGUGUGCAAAUGUCCUGGAGAAAAUUCCUUUAAUUCCUUAUUAUGAACCAAGAGCAGCUCAUUUUGUAAAGGAAAUUGCCGCUGGAAGUUCUUGGCCCCUCACGGAGUUCACCAGCAUCGACUUCUACAGGAACCAGGGCUCCUACUUCUUUGAGAGACAGCAGUACAGAACGCAGCUGUGUGACUGCUGGGGCCGCAGUACGGCCAUUUAUGAAGCCAUUUCCCUUUUAUUUUCUCCCACAAACCACCCAGUGAUGUUAUGAAGACGGGGAUAUUAUGUUUCCAGAAGAAGGAGGCAGAGGCUCAGGGAUUUCAAGGACGAGGGCCCAGAGGCACUGAGCGCGCAGGCUGGUAAUGAGAACCGCUCCCGUUUAUUGAGCGCUCAGUGUUUUCUGAGAACUUUUCUAAGUGCUCUGCACAUAUUAAAUUUUUAAAUGUUCACAUUAGUCCUGCGAGGGAGCGCUAUUCUUAUCUACAUUUCACCCGUGGGGACGCCGAGGCACGAGGAGGCGAAGGAAGUAUUCAGGAUCCUGGUAAAAGGGCAGAACCCGCAGUCCCAGGAGCCCAGGCCGUGCCCUACCCAGGGGGCUUCACCCCAGCGCUGGGCGCCAGGGCUCCUGCUCCUUCACCUGUGGCUAGUGCGUGGGAUCCAGAGCUCAGUGCUCAGGCUGGGCCAAGCUGGUGGCUGUGUUUCUGCUCCUGGCCUAGCGGAGGUGGGGUGGACUCGCCUCUGGAUUCCAGGGAUCCUGGUGGAAAUCCAGCUCGGCUUCCCCAUCUCCUCUUUGUGUCCACUGUUAACCAAGGGCAGUCUUGUCCUGCUCCCAGAUCCCCUCUUACACCUCUUGAUGGUCACCCACGUGUCCUUGACCCUGAUCCGUCACAGCCCACCACAUGGAAAGGCGCAUGUCUUUCCCACCGCACAGGGACUUCCUCGCCAGCUCCCAGUUCUCUCGUGUUUGCCGGCUGAGCGUCUCUUGUCUUCCCGGACCUCAGGCUCAGGCUUUGCAGAGACGCCUCCGUGUCCUGGAGUUCCCUGUGUUUGUGAAUCUUGGCUGGGAAUCCCAUCCUGUUCCAUGGUCACCUGUCCAGUGACUGUGCUUUGUGGAGUUUUGUUCCCUUGUAGAAUCCUGUUUCCGAGUCCCCUCCGUGUGGCCUGGAGCAGCAGCAGGCUCCUCCCAGGCAGAUGGCUGGAUGGAUGUCACAGGCCCACGAGCCACUGUACAUGGAGCCCUUCACGGAUAUAAGCUCUACAAAAGCAAGGCCCAUGCCACAGGAUGACUGAGAGCCCGACAGACGUUUCCAGGCCUCUGAGUGGACACUCAGUCUUCACACAGAGGCGCCGGCCCUUAAGCCAUUCAGAAUCCCCAGCAGCUGCACCAGGAAACAGCUGGAGAAGACUCUGCCCAGCACCAGCUAGGCGGCCUCGUGGGAGAGGAGAAGCUGCCUCCAUAGGCUUUGGUUGCAAACCCAGGAGUCACGACUUCGGGGACAGAUCUAGCAACGCCACAGAGUUAAAUUUUCCUUUGAUGGGAUCUGGAUCUUAACAUUAUUUGGAGCCAGGGUUCAAUGGAGGAUAUAAAAUUCCCUGUUCUCAGAUGCCGCAUGCCAGCUGUCUCCAGAGUGAAAAGUGAACAGCAUCUUACACCUCUACUGGCCUUUGAGUGCCAGGACCCAGCCUAGGGAAGAGAGCAGCAUCCGUCUCUUCAGAGCUGACCGGACGUGGGCACUGCCUUCCACCUUCUGUCUCCUAGGCCCCUCUCCGUCCGGUGGAGGGUGCGCAGAGCCUGCUGGCAGCCGUGCGCCCUCGGAGACUCGCGCUCUUGACACCAGUGGAAGCGCGGGGCACCGCAAACCGCUCUGAGCACAGCCCACUUCCCUGGGCCCCCCGCGAGCGUGGAGCAGUCACCCAGCACUCCAACGCCACCCAGGAAACCCGCAGCCCAGGCACACCGUUGGAGCAGGUGUGCAAGCGACUUCUCCCAAGCACACGUGGCGGCAGUUACGUUCCCCGUGCCCACGGGUGCAGGGCCCCUCACAGCCCGCUGUGCCUGGGGACAGAGCCAGGAGCUCAUGUGCUCCCAGCAGCCCUACCUUCCCUUUCCUCCCUCACCGCUAAGUGGCUUGGAGAAGAUCUGGAAGAACCAGUGUCUUUUUCCUUUCUGUUGUCCUUUGCCGUGAGAACAUCUCUUGGAUCACUCCUUUAAUAUAGUAAACAUGAAGACGCCAACAUGAACUGCUUUACCAAGACCCAGGGGAGAAAGGCAAGGUCUAAAAGCUGUGCAUACAUGUCAAGUGUAAGUGCACAUGGACUUGUGUAUACAGGCAUGCACGUAUGCAUAGGUAUAGGCUGGUGGGCACAGCUGUAUGGGCUCACGGAUAUGCACGUGCAGCACAAGUUGCACACCAAUUUAAAGCAAAACUCAAGUGAGCCCUGAUGUAAAGAGAGAGUAUGAACGUUUAAGACAGUUUCAAGACUCAGGUGAUAAGGUGAAGGUGCUCCUCAGAAAAACAAGGAAAGGCGAACCAUGCACAGGUGUAUCUAUUUAAAAACAGAAUCCGUUGGAUAUAAUGAAACUUUAGGAAAUUUCCAUCUAAGUUUUGAGUUAUCUUAAUUUAAAAAAAAAAGAUGAAAACUGUUAGCUAGGAUUUCAGACCUCUCCCCUUGUAUUUUGUGUAAAGUUCUUAGUCCCUCAAAGUACUAGCACCUGCUCUUGGGUACAUGACUUUGAGCUGAGGCUUCAAAAUGUUAUGUUUAUUACUUAAAUAUAAGUAGGUAGGUUACUUCUUGAAAAAAUGUAAAGACUCACUUUUUAACUAUUAAACUAAGUGGAAGAAUGA